CCAAAAGUUAGCUAAAAGCAUACAUCCCAUCAGCCACCAUACAACUCUUACCAUCAUAGCCUUACCAUCAACUUUUUCCCUUCUCUGCGAAGCCAUACACUUUGGCAAGAUAUUUACUUCACCAUUUUUCUUUCACUCAUUUACCUCACUCUGUCAUAAGCAGAAUUCAAGUGCAGCAAUUCCAGGUUUUCCUACUACUGAUCUCUCAUCGGAUUUAUGCUCUUAAUUUUCACAGCAUUCUCUUUUUCUUAUUCAAGAAUCUGCCCAAGAUACAGAACCCCUAGAAGAAACUCAGACACGAUUUUAUUUCAUCUACACCACACAGCAACAAAUCCAGUGAAAGGUUAUAUUUCUGACUCAUCCAGUUCACGCCAAUUUCAUCAAUUCUUAGCCGAGCAGCAAAGCACAAACACACAUCCAUAAUCUCAUCAAGAUACAUGCAUAUAUAUUGUGUAUAUAUUUACAUUCAACAUGACUGUUGUAAAGAAGAAAGGGAAAAGAUUUAAAAUUUGAAGCUUUAUUUUUGUUCCCUGCUUUCGAUCUUGCCGUAUUGAGUCGAGAGGGGGGGUGGAGAGAGAUGGGCGGCUGAGGGUUCAACGGAGGGAGGCAGGGCACGGCGGCGGUGCCGCUGCUGCCCGGCCACGGCUGGAGAGAGAGAGGUGGUCGGGUCGGGGCUGGGUUUUGUCGAGGGCGGGACGGCGGCGGCAGUCUGCUCCAUCAACUGCUGUCUGCCGGAGUGAGCAGAGAGUAGAGAGAUGAGUGACUGGCAUGGGUUUGGUUGCUCAGAGGGAGGCCAGGGCGCGGCGGCUCUUCUGCUGUCGCUCGGCCACGGACGGAGGGAGAGAAGGGAGGAGGCUGAGGGCGACUGGAUUGGGGUCACUAGGGUUCAGGCGCUGCGGCAGCUCAUCGCUGUUGUCGUCGCCGGAGAUCUGAGGGAGGGAGUCCGAGUCACGGUCGGCGGCAGCUUUUGUUGUUGCAGUCGCCGAGAAUGGAGAAAAGAGAAGGGAGCUGGAGCCUGUCGCCGCUUGCUCCGGCGAGCUCCAGCGGC
rnacentral:lncRNA from 1 species